CAGCCGCCGCGGGAAUACGAAGGGUGCAAGCGUUAAUCGGAAUUACUGGGCGUAAAGCGCACGCAGGCGGUCUGUCAAGUCAGAUGUGAAAUCCCCGGGCUUAACCUGGGAACUGCAUUUGAAACUGGCAGGCUAGAGUCUUGCAGAGGGGGGUAGAAUUCCAGGUGUAGCGGUGAAAUGCGUAGAGAUCUGGAGGAAUACCGGUGGCGAAGGCGGCCCCCUGGACAAAGACUGACGCUCAGGUGCGAAAGCGUGGGGAGCAAACAGGAUUAGAUACCCCUGUAGUCCCUGUCUCUUAUAC
rnacentral:rRNA from 1 species